rnacentral:rRNA from 1 species
AUGCCCCAUAUCCAAGCCGCUCCUCCUCCUCACUGCGCCGCAGACAACGAGGCCACGCCGAGGGGCUGGCCCGCUAGGACCCAGAUGGGGCUGCGCCGCGACGUCGGCCACCCAGCACCACCACGCCGCCCCGCUGCCAAGGAGCAGCGCCGCCACCACGUCCGCCGCCGGCCACCCCGCUGGGUCGCCGGACCGUCGCCAAGCCGAGCGACACCGCCGCCGCCCCCUGCCCCGGGCCAGGAGGAUGCGCGCGCGGGGAGAGAAGAUCCUACCGCCACCGGCACCCCCCUGGCCGGAGCCGGGGGCGCCCACCGGCGACAGCAGGGGAAAGGAAGAGGGGGCGAAGCCGAGAGCAGAGGCGAUGCCGAGCGCGCCGUGGCAGAGGAGCGUGAGCGAGCAGCUGCACCAACAAGGGUGUUGAGGCUAGCUGCAGUGGAGCUGGCAGCAGCCAGAGUGGAGGUAGAAGCAGCCAGGGCGGAGGUAGAAGCAACAGCAGCAUCAAAAGCAGCACGUGAGGCUACAACGAAUGCCAAGGCACUCCGCGGCGGCUCCGGCAGCUCCAACAGCUCCGCGGCUGCGGACGACGACGCCAACGCAGAUCGUGCCAAAGUGGCGCAAGAGCGGACGACGCAGUGGGAAGCCGAGCACACCCACACUCCAGGUGCAGGUGUGCACCGCGAUGGCGGCUACAAUGACCAUGACCGCGGCCUCUACGAGGUCCGGACUGUGGUCAGGGAUGUUGGUCCCAGUGUUGGGUGGCCUACCCUCACUAAAACCAACUACGUCGAGUGGGCCGGGAUCAUGAAGAUCAGGCUCCAGACUGCCAAGGAGGCUUGGGACGCCAUCGCCGCGACACGCAUCGGCAGCGAUCGUGCUCACAAGUCCACCCUGCAGGCACUCCGUAAGGAGUGGGAGAGCCUGGUUUUCAAGACAGGUGAGGACGUUGAUGACUUUGCUCUCCAUCUCAACACUCUGCUGCAGAAGUUGGUGAAGUUUGGCGAUGCCACCUACACCGAGGAGAGAGCUGUCGAGAAGCUUUUUCGGUGCAUCCCCGAGAAGUACAAGCAGAUGGCUCGGUCGAUCGAGUCUUCGCUAGACCUCUCCAUGAUGAUGAUCGAGGAGGCGAUAGGUCGCCUCAAGGUCGUCGACACCGACGAGCCACAACCUUCCUUGGGGCGCAUCACCACCAGCGGGAAGCUGCUCCUAACUCGGGAGCCGUGGGAUGCCAGCCUUGGUGAUAGGAAGAAGGGGGAGCCUUCUUCCACGACGGGUGGCCGCAAGCGUGGCAAGCAGCAUAAGGCGCGAAGAGGCCCCCAGGGCAGGGCACAAGGACGUGCCAAGGGUGACGCCCGCGGAGGCGCCAAGGACGGCGCCGCUGGCAAGCCCAAGCCGACACAAGACAACAGUUGCCACAACUGUGGCCGGUUUGGCCAUUGGGCCAAUGAGUGUCGGCAACCACGACAAGGCCAGGCUCACGUUGCACAGGCAAAGGAGGAGGAGACGGCUCUGUUCAUGGAGCAUGCAAGCAUUGAGCUACCUUCAGCGACUCCAGUCGCAAAGGCUUUCAUCCACCUCGAUGAGCCAAAAGCACACGCUCUUCUCGAUGUUCUGGAAGGCAUGGGCCCCUAG